rnacentral:rRNA from 1 species
UACGUAGGGUGCGAGCGUUGUCCGGAAUUAUUGGGCGUAAAGGGCUCGUAGGCGGUUUGUCGCGUCGGGAGUGAAAUCCACUGGCUUAACUGGUGGCUUGCUUUCGAUACGGGCAGACUGGAGGUAUGCAGGGGAGAACGGAAUUCCUGGUGUAGCGGUGAAAAUGCGCAGAUAUCAGGAGGAACACCGGUGGCGAAGGCGGUUCUCUGGGCAUGUCCUGACGCUGAGGAGCGAAAAGCCAGGGGGAGCAAAACGGGG